rnacentral:rRNA from 1 species
GACGAACGCUGGCGGCGUGCUUAACACAUGCAAGUCGAACGGAGUGGCGAACGGGUGAGUAACACGUGGGUGACCUGCCCUGCACUUCGGGAUAAGCCUGGGUAACUGGGUCUAAUACAGGCUAGUGUGGGAUGGGCGCGGGGCCUAUGAGCUUGUUGGUGGGGUAAUGGCCUACCAGGGGGGAGACGGGUAGCCGGCCCGAGAGGGGGGACGGCCACAUGGGGACUACGAGACGGACCAGACGCCGACGGGAGGCAGUAGGGGGGAAUAUUGCGCAAUGGGGGGAAGCGUGAUGCAGCGGCGCCGGGUGGGGGAUGACGGUCUUCGGGUGAUAAACUCCUUUCACCAUCGACGCGGUAGAUGGAGAAGAAGCACCGGCUAACUACGUGCCAGCCGCCGCGGUAAUUC